GCUCUCGUAGCUCAGUGGAUAGAGCACUUGCUUGCGGAGCAAGGGGUCGCGUGUUCGAGUCGCGCCGAGAGCG
rnacentral:tRNA from 1 species